AAUCAGUCUGUUACAUUCUAGCAAUGAGUAGCACCAUCACUGGAGGGAAGCAAUUCAGCACAGUAUGUUACCCGUGGUGGAGGCGAAACGGACGGCAC
rnacentral:SRP_RNA from 1 species